rnacentral:lncRNA from 1 species
UAGCUCCCUUAACCGAUGCUCCAGAUUAAUCCACAUUUCUCCUUUCCUUCUGAAAAGGCUGUACAAUGAAUACUCAAGACUAGGAGACAACAGUCCUUUAAUGACCCAACACUCCUGCUCUCACCUGGAAAGGGUGGCAACUAAAGAUUCCCGAGAGAACCGGCUAUUUCAACCUCCCGCCUCCUGUAACUGUGGGGGCCUAUUUUCUAUUGGAGUAUAUUAGAAGCAAUGCUCCAGGGGCUUCUUACCAGCUUGAUCUCAAAAAGGAUAAAAAACCUGAAGCAUUAUCUACCUGUUUGUCUUUCUGUUGGCUUCGAUCUCCUGAUGGCCAGAGUCUCCAGGAAUCAUUGUCAAUAACAUCAGCAAGAACAAUUUCUUUGGUGGUUACAUCAACACCAAAUUCAAUCUGGGGGGAAACAGCAUGUCAACAAAGUUUUCAAAAACUAUUUUAUGAAAGCAUCUCUCAACUAUAACCUUUACUUUCAAAUCCUGUUGUUUUAUCUGUACUUGUUUUAUCUGUACCUUCAUAUCAACCAGUGUACAAUUCUGGGGCAACCAGGAUUUCUCCAGUAUUUCAAAUAUAGCCUGUGUAGCAUGACUCAUGAUAUCCACUUCAGUCUGGCCUAUAACAAGUCCAGCAAAGCAAAAUUUUGCAGCAAUCAGCUGUUCCUCAGACCACUGUGGGUCAUUAUUGGCAUCAUCCUGUGAAUAAAGUAUAGUAGUA